rnacentral:lncRNA from 1 species
AAAAGAGACCGAUAGAAUAAGUACUGGGCUUACAAAAGAAUAAGUCCCGGGGUCGAUUUGCUCGACUAAAGGCGGUGCUCCAGCAUGGCCGCAGUCAAAUGACUGAAACAUGUAAAAGAGUAAAAGAGAUAUAUAUAUAUAUAUACACACACAUACAAUUCACACACAUGUGUGUGUGUGUGUGUGUGUUUCCUGUAUGCCUGUUCUUAUUGCUAGGGUUAGCUUAUGUCCUAAUCAACCGAGACAACUGUUCUGCAUAUUUUACCCCACACCCACCCCACUUUUAAGAAAUAUGUGUAGUAAAUGUUAUCGGCUCAUUACUUUCAAACGAACACAUUUUAAUUCAUCAAAUGUAUUUUUUGCUAUUUUUUUUUUCACAGUUUUACAUUUUUAUUUUGCAUUAACACACACACACACACACACACACACACACACAUUUUAUGUAAGAAAAGAGAUGACAAAGGAAUAUUUCUGCUCUGUACUUGAAUAAUGCUUCGUUCAGAAGCAUACGUGUAUUGAGUGCUAAACCAGAUUACUAGUGUCGUAAUGCCCAAGAAAAAUAGAUAGAUAUAUACACACAUACACGUGUGUGUAUUUAUGUAUGUGUGUGUGUACAUAUAAAUAUGUAUGUAUGCAUAUAAAUAUAUGUAUG